rnacentral:rRNA from 1 species
AACGAACGCUGGCGGCAUGCCUAACACAUGCAAGUCGAACGAGACCUUCGGGUCUAGUGGCGCACGGGUGCGUAACGCGUGGGAACCUGCCCUUAGGUUCGGAAUAACUCCCCGAAAGGGGUGCUAAUACCGGAUAAUGUCUUCCGACCAAAGAUUUAUCGCCUUUGGAUGGGCCCGCGUUGGAUUAGCUAGUUGGUAGGGUAAAAGCCUACCAAGGCGACGAUCCAUAGCUGGUCUGAGAGGAUGAUCAGCCACACUGGGACUGAGACACGGCCCAGACUCCUACGGGAGGCAGCAGUGGGGAAUAUUGGACAAGGGGCGAAAGCCUGAUCCAGCAAUGCCGCGUGAGUGAUGAAGGCCUUAGGGUUGUAAAGCUCUUUUACCCGGGAUGAUAAUGACAGUACCGGGAGAAUAAGCUCCGGCUAACUCCGU